GUUGACCUCGAAUCAGGUAGGAAUACCCGCUGAACUUAAGCAUAUCAA
rnacentral:rRNA from 1 species